rnacentral:rRNA from 1 species
UACGUAGGUGGCAAGCGUUGUCCGGAAUUAUUGGGCGUAAAGCGCGCGCAGGCGGUUCUUUAAGUCUGAUGGGAAAGCCCACGGCUCAACCGUGGAGGGUCAUUGGAAACUGGAGAACUUGAGUACAGAAGAGGAAAGCGGAAUUCCACGUGUAGCGGUGAAAUGCGUAGAGAUGUGGAGGAACACCAGUGGCGAAGGCGGCUUUCUGGUCUGUAACUGACGCUGAGACGCGAAAGCGUGGGGAGCAAACAGG